rnacentral:rRNA from 1 species
UACGUAGGGGGCGAGCGUUGUCCGGAUUUAUUGGGCGUAAAGAGCGUGUAGGCGGUCCGGUAAGUCCGCUCUGAAAGCCCGGGGCUCAACCCCGGGAGGCGGGCGGAUACUGUCGGGCUAGAGUCCGGAAGAGGCGAGUGGAAUUCCUGGUGUAGCGGUGAAAUGCGCAGAUAUCAGGAGGAACACCGAUGGCGAAGGCAGCUCGCUGGGACGGUACUGACGCUGAGGAGCGAAAGCGUGGGGAGCGAACAGG